rnacentral:rRNA from 1 species
GUGCCAGCAGCCGCGGUAAUACGAAGGGGGCUAGCGUUGUUCGGAAUUACUGGGCGUAAAGCGCGCGUAGGCGGAUUGGUCAGUCAGGGGUGAAAUUCCGGGGCUUAACCUCGGAACUGCCUUUGAUACUGCCAGUCUCGAGUCCGGAAGAGGUGAGUGGAAUUCCUAGUGUAGAGGUGAAAUUCGUAGAUAUUAGGAAGAACACCGGUGGCGAAGGCGACUCACUGGUCCGGUACUGACGCUGAGGCGCGAAAGCGUGGGGAGCAAACAGGAUUAGAUACCCUGGUAGUCCACGCCCUAAACGAUGAAUGCCAGACGUCGGGCAGCAUGCUGUUCGGUGUCGCACCUAACGGAGUAAGCAUUCCGCCUGGGGAGUACGGCCGCAAGGUUAAAACUCAAAUGAAUUGACGGGG